CUUUGAUUUUGCCUUUUUGACAAUUAAAGUCUUUUGUUUCCGGAGAAGUCUGCGUUUGAGUCCUGCCUCCCCCACGCAUCCCUGACAGCGAGUGACUGAGCGGGACUAACCUUUCCAGAAACACUAAAUAGCCGAUGCUUGCAGUCUAUGCCCUUAUUUGUGAGUGUGAGAGAGUUAAAGAACAGAAGAAAAAAUGAAAGCGAGAAGAGUUUUGACCAGCGGUGCAGCUAUCAGCACCAAUAUGUAUCAAGCCCAAAGCAGCCGAGUCCUGAUGUCAUGGAUGACCUUUACGAUCAGACCUGCCACUUUAGUUACAGAUCAGUCCAAGAAGAGGCUCACAAACACCUUUACCGCACGCUACCAGCACCCCUCCAUUCUCUAUUCUGAUAUACACACCCCCACCUAGUGUGUAUGUCACUGUUCAUGUGUUUAUGUUUCAAAGCAAGAGUAAACUCUCUGCAGCUUUUGACAACCAAAAUAAAAGUGGACCUGUACAAGCAGCUGGACAUCCACUUUGAGACUUUGUAUGCAUAAAAAUAUCUCUUUCACAUCCACAACAAUUGAGUGUCAGAUUGAAGUAUUAGAGUUUAUGCACUUGUAGUUAAGAGGAAGAAACAGAAAAUCCUGUCAGACUAUAAAUUGCAUACUGUUGCCUUGUCCUUUAAUGCAGGUGGCUCACUCACUUUUAUCCAUCAAACCACAUGUAGCUGCUGAGGAUAUAAGUUGAGUCUGUUUUGUGGACGAGGGAGUAUGGUACAUCUGACUCUACACAACCUACAGGGGAAGACAGAGUGAAGAUGAAAAGAGGCGGAAAUCAUAGGGUUGAACAGACACAACUUUUCCUCCUCCUUAAAAUAGCGCGUGUUGAGUGGGUGACGCAGUGGCCUUUAAGAUGGGGAUAAAUUCCCCUGAGGAUGAGAGGAGACAGGGAGGGAGAUGGGGGAGGAUCAGAGGAGGCUGCAGCCUUGCUUGUUGGCCGCUCAUUGCCUCCGCAAGCUUAGACUCUCACAUUGUCUCACUCCUAUUUAGGCCUAAUCACAAACAGCCUGACAGCCUGAUUUUGUUUUCUCAAUUUAGAAAAAAGGCCUUUGUUACGUUAAUCUUCCCUCUUUUCAUAUGCUGGACCUUAAUUCUGAAUCCUGUUGCAGCCACUACAGCCAACACAUUUGUUGCCAAAUUGCCAUGAAAGCAGGAGACCUUGUUCAUGAUACAAUAUUGCAGUAGCAUUUAAAAACAAAAGCAAAGCUUAUCUUAGAACAUGAUGGCAAAUACUGCUUGUGCCUUAAAUCUAUAAAGGCAUGUUUAUUCCGACAUUAUCCCAUUUAUUGUCUAUAAAAUGGAGUCAUAAUCCCAUGGUCUACAAAGGGCUGUAUAGGUCACCAUUACAAGCGAUCUACUGAUUAAAGUCUACAGUUUUGUCCCAAGGGCAAAUGUACUUGGCAUCUCCAGCACCCGUCACUUAACCAGCCACAAGAAAGGACGUUAUCUUCUAAGAGCCAUCUUUCCCUUGCUGUCAUUAGCAUAAGCUAUGCACAGCAGUGUUUACCGCAUAUCACGUCAGCUCUGAUAGCAGUGAAAUUGAUUGCUAUUUCAAGCUCCGUAGUAGGUUCCUGUGGGUAAUUUGUGUGACUUUCCAGCAGCUGAUUUAGAUGAAGUGGUUUCGGUCUGGAACAGGGGACGACAGCUGCAGAAUGUAGAAUAGCUAACUGGUGACCUGUGAGUGAUGCACUGCCCUGCAUCUAUAGUGUAAAUGUAAAAGUUGUAUUUCUGAAAACUAUAACCUAAUUGAUGCGAGUACCGUGGAUCAUGGAAUCCGGUGCUGUAGACACGUGCUUUAAAUGAUGAGGGGUAUUGGAGUCACAGCGUUAUUCAAAUGGUGACAUGACAGUGGAUAGGCCGUCUUUUUUUGCUGUUUUCUGAAGUAUGAAUUGAUUUUGGGCCACUUUGGGGCGACGCAACAUGCUCAACAUGAUACAUUUCUUAGAUUCAUGUUUGUGGCAACUUGCAAAAUGCAGUAACUUUCUUUCU
ensembl:lncRNA